rnacentral:lncRNA from 1 species
UCCAAUUAUGUUGUAAGGAAAGGGGAGUUGAGUCAAUGUCAUUUUAAAAUGACACUCUACAGCAGCUUGAGGAAAUACUUGAAUUUAUUGUCUCUGUUUUAAGUGGAAUUGGGAAAGAAAUUGAUUCCAGAGUCCAUACAGACAAAAGCUAAUAACUAUCAUUUAGGGACGCAUUUCAGGCUCAGUAUCCACAUUAUCUCUGAUCUUUAUGACAAUCUUACAUGGAUUUGUUAACUGACUGGGAUUAUUAACUGGCCUGUUUUAUGAAAGAAGAAGCUGAGGCUCUGAGAGAUUGAUCAGUAGAGACAAAGCCACCCUGCUAUCAAGGGCUGAACACAGGUUUCAGGCCCAACUCUGCCUGUUUCCAAAGCCCAUGCUCUUGUAGUGGUGAAUGGAGUUAGAACAACUAAGAAUGCCUUGAGAAUGAUCCUCUGUCCUUGGAUGCCCUAGAGAGCUAACAGCAGGGCAGACCUGCUGGUCCAAUCCGAAUUCACAACAUCCUGAAGAGAAGCCAGGUGUCAGCUGUCAGCCGCAUUCUUCUUGACCAAUCACUGCUAGAAUGUUACAAAGCCAGGCAUGCAAAUAACUUUCCCUUUACCUGGAGAUAGAAAAGAAUGCUGAAUCAGCUGGGCAUGGUGGUUCAUGCCUGUAAUCC